ensembl:lncRNA
AUGAUCCCGCUUCAGCGCGUAGGAAUCCCCGUUCAGCUCCAGGCAGAAGUCCCUGUCCUUGCAGGCCUCCCGCACCGUCCUGUUGCGGUGCUUGUAGGGACACUUCACCUCCAGCAGCCCCAACCGCUUCCCCGUGUCGGCCUCAGUGACGAUGCCGUCAGGGCUGGCGGCGAUCCACGUCUUCUCCUUGUGGAUGAACAGCCCACACUCGUCCACCUGCACGGGCCGGCCCAUCUCCUGCGACUUGAGCCGCUCGUAGGCCCGCACGGCCUCCUUCUCGUUGCGGACACCCCACGACAUGGCCGGCGUUUGCACAGAGGGGCUGGUGCUCAGCACCGCCUUCAGGUAGGACUGAGGCACCUCGUCUGUCUUCCCGUUGGCAAACCUGCUGUUGGCGAUGCGCGGGGCCAGCGAGGCCGUGAUGCGGUUCUUCCGCCACGCGUACCACUGGGGGUUGGCGCGUUGGCCGCGCGUCUGCUCCUCCACCCAGGGGAUGUCGUGGCUUUGCAGGACGGGCGGACAGCGCGGCGAGGCCCCGGACGGGCCGGCCUUGGCCUUGGGGUCGGCCUUGGCGUCGGCCUUGGCGCUGUCCAGGGCUGGAGCUCCUUUGGUGCCUUCAGACAGGCGCGGGCCGGCGCUGCCCUCGNNNNNNNNNNNNNNNNNNNNNNNNNNNNNNNNNNNNNNNNNNNNNNNNNNNNNNNNNNNNNNNNNNNNNNNNNNNNNNNNNNNNNNNNNNNNNNNNNNNNNNNNNNNNNNNNNNNNNNNNNNNNNNNNNNNNNNNNNNNNNNNNNNNNNNNNNNNNNNNNNNNNNNNNNNNNNCGAAGGCUCGGCUCCCCCCGACCCCCUGCUUUCUCCUGCUCUUCUUCAGGGCUUUCCCCGUACGCCGGGCUGCUGUGGGUCCCACGGGCUUGGAGCUUGUGCCGCUGGCACGGGGAUGGAGCGGCGGUGAGGAGCCGGUGCCAGAGCGGCAGCCUGCAGCGGGAGGGGCGGUGGCGUCGGUGAGCGCAGACCCCGACCAGAGCAGAGGGAAUCGCUCCGGUCAGAAGCUUGGUGCGGCUCUUGGGGUGCUGAGCCCCCAAUCCCUGUGUCAUCGUCCUCCAGGUAAGGCCCGGGGCACGAUGUGGGGUUUGGGAUGCCCAAGGUUUGUGUGAUUGUGAGGUGAGGCAGUGGGGGCCGUGCAAGUGCUGAGAUCACCGCCCCAGCGGGACCUGCACUGCUGGGAACUGCCUCAGGGCAUCAGUGCUUGGGCUGUACCAUAAAUGCCUGCUUGCCACCGGUGGGACCCUUUGUUAGAGCUGCUUGCUAGGAUUGUUCCCAUGCUGGGAGAUCCGUGGGGUUGGGAUGCUUUUAUUUUUGGGGUUGCACUGAGGGGAAGUUCCCUGGCAUGGGGCUGUGGUUUUCUACGGGUUUGGUGGGAGGGAGUGUGAGGCAGAGCUGGAGGGAGCUCUGAGCUGAGCCAGCUGCAGUGGGGACCCCGCAGUGUGCUCGGUUUGGGGCUGUGAUGGGGCAUCAUCUCUGUGGGGCUGCCAUUUCCCAUGCCCAGACUGAGCUCUCCCAGGUGCAGUUCCGACAACUUUACAGCUGCUCAUAGCAACGAGGGUGAGGAGGGGGCUGCAAAGUGCUGGAGGUGGGGAGGGGUCCUGGUAGUGAUUCUGCACUGGGCACCAUUUACUGCUCCAGGGGCUGAGGUCAGGGUGAGGAGCAGCUCUGCUUUUAUUCAUCACCUCGGGGCUUAGAGCAGCACAUCGGGCCAGAUGGGCCCUGUUUACCCUGCGAGUGUAAAUGCAAAGAGAAGUGAUAAAAAGCAGCUGGAACAGCUUCUGCUGGCAGCCCCAGUAAACAAGGCUGUGUGGCAAGGCAAAUAGCAGGCACGUUGCUGAGCGCUGAGCCUUGGGAACUGAUGGGAGGGCUUUGGGGUGACCCCAUCCCUGAUGGCUCCAGGCAGUGGGGCUGGGGCUGUCCCUGUCUGAGUGCUGCUCCCACUGCUGAUCCAUAGUGGGUGCUCCCCUCUUCCCAUGUUGGGGUUCGAAUGGGGUUACUGUUAGGGUUAGGGCUACAGUAAGGGUUUGUGUUGGGGUUAGGGUUAAGUUUAGCGUUAGGAUGUGGUCAGGCUUAAGGUUAGAGUUAGGAUUAGUCUUAGGGUUAGAAUAGGGUUAGGGUCAGUUAUAGGGUUAGGGAUAGCCAUAUGCGUGCAUCCCUCUGCUGCCCCCUCCCCUCUGUGCCUCUCAUCAGUGCAGCACUGACCUUGUUGUUAAUUAUUAAACCCCCAGCAAACACCGCACUGUGUUGUGCCCUAGUUACGCCGUGGGCUUCUUGUGCAUCUUUUUUUUUUUCCCCAAGCAAAUUACCCUGGUAACCUCUGUGGGUGGAUGGAGAUAGGAGUGGCAGAUGCUCCUCUCCCCACCAGCACAGGCGAUGGGCUGCAGAGGCCCUGGAGCUGCCGCGCUGCUUUGUGUGGCCAGGAGACGGGGAUGUGUGGCCCUCUGCUUCUGGCCGCAUGGGCUCUCGUGGCUCUACAGGGCUGAGGUUUGGCUCCAGAGCAGAGAUUUGGGUUCAGGUCUGUCCCUCUGUUGGUGUGCAUGAGCCCCUUCUCUACAGACCGCCUCCCAGCGCCUCAUCUCGCAGCCGUGCCGAGGGACCAAGGGACCAUGCCAGGUCUGUACGUGCUUUCCUCCUGGGAGGCUCUGCCCCUGAAGAGCUCCAGGGUGAAGGCAUGCGCCAACGGGUACGUGCUGAGCAUCACUGCCCAGCUCCUGUACACCAACCCACGUGAAGAGCCCGUGGAAGGUAAGGACGAUUAUUGGGGUGCAGGGACCCUAUAGACACCAUGCUGGGGUAUCCCGUUCCAACCCCAUUGCCACACUGGACUCUGCCUCUGGGCUCUCUCCCACCUGCAGGCGUCUUCAUUUACCCGCUGGAGGAGUCAGAGCUGAUGGCUGGCUUUGAGGCAGUGGUGGGCAGCCGGCGGGUCACCUUCCAGGUGCAGAGCCGGCACCGGGCACAGGAUUGCUGCCUGCAGUGCGGCAGCAGCCCAGGGCGGCCGCGCCGCUGUGCCAGCGGUGAGUGCGUGGGGCAAAGCACGGGGGCACGAGGGGCUGAUGAGAUCCCUUUGCUACUCUGGGAGAGCUGGAGGGAUGCUCCUCUUCCUUAUUUCUGCUUUCCCUAAUGACUCCCCAGCUUUCUGCCAUUUCAGCCCCAUCCCCUUCCUAUCUGUCCAGCUUUCCCGUCCCUUUGUGCUCCCCUCUGUUGUCCCCUUGGUGAGUAAUUAGUUCAAUUACUGAUGCCCACGUGGUCCCUCCCCUCGCCCAGGUCACCUCGUCCUGGAUGAGGACACCGAGCGUUCCACCUUCGUCAUCAUCACAGGCUCAGUGGGGCCGGCGGAGAGCCUGGCCGUGACCCUAAACACAGUGCAGGAGCUGCCCACGCUGCCGGGGGGGGCCCUGCGCCUCGUCCUGCCCCCCGUCCUUGUGCCACGUGUCACCGCCGCCCCCGAGUGUGAGAGCGAGCCGGGAAGCUUGUGUGACGACAGGUUGGCCCUAUGGUGAUUUUCACGGCUUUCUGAGUCUCUGCCAUCCUAGGGUUGGGGGGAGAUGCUGGGUGUGCAGGGGAGGUGUGAUAGCUGCCCUCACCCCAUUCCCCUUGCAGCCCCACCAGCUGUUUCGGGGGACCUGGGGCAAGGAGCCAGCCUGCGCCCGCAGCACCUGUGGAGAGCAUAGAUGUCUUCAGGGGACAGCCGUACAACCCCUUUCCUUACGAGUUUGCUUUUGAGCUGCUGGUGAAGGGCCCGUGCCUGCUGGCAGGUAGGGCUGGGAGCUCUCAGAAUUGCUCUGCAUGUGGCAUUACCACUGUUUGAG